UGGAUCCAGACUUUGAUCAUGGCUCAGGAUAAACGCUGGCGGCGCACAUAAGACAUGCAAGUCGAACGGACUUAACUCAUUCUUUUAGAUUGAGAGCGGUUAGUGGCGGACUGGUGAGUAACACGUAAGCAACCUGCCUAUCAGAGGGGAAUAACAGUGAGAAAUCAUUGCUAAUACCGCAUAAGCUAGUAGUAUCGCAUGAUAUAGCUAGAAAAGGAGCAAUCCGCUGAUAGAUGGGCUUGCGUCUGAUUAGCUAGUUGGUGGGGUAACGGCCUACCAAGGCGACGAUCAGUAGCCGGACUGAGAGGUUGAACGGCCACAUUGGGACUGAGAUACGGCCCAGACUCCUACGGGAGGCAGCAGUCGGGAAUAUUGCGCAAUGGAGGAAACUCUGACGCAGUGACGCCGCGUAUAGGAAGAAGGUUUUCGGAUUGUAAACUAUUGUCGUGAGGGAAGAAAUUGACAGUACCUCAGGGGGAAGCUCCGGCUAACUAUGUGCCAGCAGCCGCGGUAAUACAUAGGGAGCAAGCGUUAUCCGGAUUUAUUGGGUGUAAAGGGUGCGUAGACGGGAAAUUAAGUUAGUUGUGAAAUCCCUCGGCUUAACUGAGGAACUGCAACUAAAACUGGCUUUCUUGAGUACUGGAGAGGAAAGUGGAAUUCCUAGUGUAGCGGUGAAAUGCGUAGAUAUUAGGAGGAACACCAGUGGCGAAGGCGACUUUCUGGACAGUAACUGACGUUGAGGCACGAAAGUGUGGGGAGCAAACAGGAUUAGAUACCCUGGUAGUCCACACUGUAAACGAUGGAUACUAGGUGUAGGAUGUAUUAAGCAUUCUGUGCCGCCGCUAACGCAUUAAGUAUCCCACCUGGGGAGUACGACCGCAAGGUUGCAACUCAAAGGAAUUGACGGA
rnacentral:rRNA from 1 species